GAUGAACGCUAGCGGCAGGCCUAACACAUGCAAGUCGAGCGGUAGAGGGCCUUCGGGUUCUUGAGAGCGGCGCACGGGUGCGUAACGCGUAUGCAACCUACCCUUUACAGGGGAAUAGCCCGUCGAAAGGCGGAUUAAUGCCCCAUGGCUCCUUUGAGAGGCAUCUCUUGAAGGGUAAAGAUUUAUCGGUAAAGGAUGGGCAUGCGUGCCAUUAGCUUGAUGGUGGGGUAACGGCCCACCAUGGCUACGAUGGCUAGGGGUUCUGAGAGGAAGGCCCCCCACACUGGGACUGAGACACGGCCCAGACCCCUACGGGAGGCAGAAGUGAGGAAUAUUGGUCAAUGGGCGGAAGCCUGAACCAGCCAUGCCGCGUGCGGGAAGAAGGCGCUACGCGUCGUAAACCGCUUUUGUCCGGGGGUAACCGCGGGGACGUGUCCCCGCCUGCAAGUACCGGACGAAUAAGGGUCGGCUAACUCCGUGCCAGCCGCCGCCGUAAGAC
rnacentral:rRNA from 1 species